rnacentral:tRNA from 1 species
ACUUAGAUAACUUAAAAUAAAGUUUAAUAUUGAAGAUAUUAAUAUGGAUAUAAUCCUCUGGGUA